UAUCUUUUUUAACUCAGCCUUCUUCAGAAGAAAAUGUUUAUCUUGGUGGUUCAAUAACUUUAAAUUGUACUGUGCAAGGUUAUCCAAAGCCCUGGGUGAACUGGCUAACUUUAAAUAAUAAUCAUACAACAAUCUCUUCUCCAAAAGUCUUAGUUGAAACACAUGAUAAUAUUAUUGUAGAAAUAUUGUUGACAAUUAAUAACAUUACGUUUGAUGACAAUGGUACUUACACCUGUGUUGCUAAUAGCAGUAAUGUCAUUAAAACAACAGAUACAACUCUAAAUGUUAUAUCAAUCAAACCUCCUGUACCUUUUUCUCCAGCAAGUUUUCAAGCACCAGGUUCUUGGCAUAAAGAAUGGUAUAUUGUCAUCUGGGUGUUUAUUCCCAUUGUUUGUAUUCUCUUUUUUAUUCUUGCUGUGUUGUUGGCAAGAAGGCGAA
rnacentral:lncRNA from 1 species